UCCAGUCGCGGAUACGACGUGCGAUGGC
rnacentral:sRNA from 1 species